AUCUGCCCCCUGGUUCGGGAUAACAGUUGGAAACGACUGCUAAUACCGGAUGAUAUCGCGAGAUCAAAGAUUUAUCGCCAGGGGAUGAGCCCGCGUCCGAUUAGCUAGUUGGUAAGGUAAAGGCUUACCAAGGCGACGAUCGGUAGCUGGUCUGAGAGGAUGAUCAGCCACACUGGGACUGAGACACGGCCCAGACUCCUACGGGAGGCAGCAGUGGGGAAUAUUGGACAAUGGGCGAAAGCCUGAUCCAGCAAUGCCGCGUGAGUGAUGAAGGCCUUAGGGUUGUAAAGCUCUUUUACCCGGGAUGAUAAUGACAGUACCGGGAGAAUAAGCUCCGGCUAACUCCGUGCCAGCAGCCGCGGUAAUACGGAGGGAGCUAGCGUUGUUCGGAAUUACUGGGCGUAAAGCGCACGUAGGCGGCUUUGUAAGUUAGAGGUGAAAGCCUGGAGCUCAACUCCAGAAUUGCCUUUAAGACUGCAUCGCUCGAAUCCAGGAGAGGUGAGUGGAAUUCCGAGU
rnacentral:rRNA from 1 species